CCUACGGGGUGCUGCAGUGAGGAAUAUUGGUCAAUGGGCGCGAGCCUGAACCAGCCAAGUAGCGUGAAGGAUGACUGCCCUACGGGUUGUAAACUUCUUUUAUAAAGGAAUAAAGUGAGGCAAGUGUGCCUUUUUGUAUGUACUUUAUGAAUAAGGAACGGCUAACUCCGUGCCAGCAGCCGCGGUAAUACGGAGGAUCCGAGCGUUAUCCGGAUUUAUGGGGGUUAAAGGGAGCGUAGAUGGGGUGUUAAGUCAGUGGUGAAGGUUUGCGGCUCAACCGUAAAAUUGCAAUUGAUACUGGCAGUCUUGAGUACAGUUGAGGUAGGCGGAAUUCGUGGUGUAGCGGUGAAAUGCUUAGAUAUCACGAAGAACUCCGAUUGCGAAGGCAGCUUACUAAACUGCCACUGACAUUGAUGCUCGAAAGUGUGGGUAUCAAACAGGAUUAGAUACCCGGGUAGUC
rnacentral:rRNA from 1 species